GCGAACGCUGGCGGCGUGCCUAAUACAUGCAAGUAGAACGCUGAAGAGAGGAGCUUGCUCUUCUUGGAUGAGUUGCGAACGGGUGAGUAACGCGUAGGUAACCUGCCUUGUAGCGGGGGAUAACUAUUGGAAACGAUAGCUAAUACCGCAUAACAAUGGAUGACACAUGUCAUUUAUUUGAAAGGGGCAAUUGCUCCACUACAAGAUGGACCUGCGUUGUAUUAGCUAGUAGGUGAGGUAAUGGCUCACCUAGGCGACGAUACAUAGCCGACCUGAGAGGGUGAUCGGCCACACUGGGACUGAGACACGGCCCAGACUCCUACGGGAGGCAGCAGUAGGGAAUCUUCGGCAAUGGGGGCAACCCUGACCGAGCAACGCCGCGUGAGUGAAGAAGGUUUUCGGAUCGUAAAGCUCUGUUGUAAGUCAAGAACGGGUGUGAGAGUGGAAAGUUCACACUGUGACGGUAGCUUACCAGAAAGGGACGGCUAACUACGUG
rnacentral:rRNA from 1 species